UACAGAGGUCUCAAGCGUUGUUCGGAAUCACUGGGCGUAAAGGGUGCGUAGGCUGCCCGGUAAGUCAGAUGUGAAAUCCCAGGGCUCAACUCUGGAAUUGCAUCCGAUACUGCCGUGCUUGAGGACUGGAGAGGAGUCUGGAAUUCAUGGUGGAGCAGUGAAAUGCGUAGAUAUCAUGAGGAACGCUAGUGGCGUAGGCGAGACUCUGGACAGUUCCUGACGCUGAGGCACGAAGGCCAGGGGAGCAAACGGG
rnacentral:rRNA from 1 species